UUCUUAAGCUCCUCUUGGCUGUGACACUCUCAGACAAGAAUUUUGAUAAUCUUGUUUUUAUAACUUUAACAGCUUUCUAGAGUACAGUCAGAUAUUUUCAAGGAUGUCCCGCAAUGAGAGUUGUGUGAUGCUUUCCCAUAAUUAGACUGGGAUGAUGGGGAUACAUGGAGGGAAGGCACAGAAGUAAGGCGUGGAGCACCAUUUGGAAGCAAGUCACUAUGCAUAAUUCACAAUUGAGUAAUAAAGAUUUAUGCUUCACCUCUUUGAAGGCAAAAACAGGUUGAGACAUUUACUUCUCCCAAUGGAGGAUAUAUUCUCCUUUCCAGAUGUGGCCGAGAACGAUACUGAAAUUAAAGGGAAGAGACUGGAAAUGAUAUUAGACAAAAAGCAAAUUUGAGCAA
rnacentral:lncRNA from 1 species